CUAAGCAUAUCAAUAAGCGGAGGAAAAGAAACCAACAGGGAUUGCCUCAGUAACGGCGAGUGAAGCGGCAAAAGCUCAGAUUUGAAAUCUGGCGUCAUUUUGGCGUCCGAGUUGUAAUCUGUAGAGGAGUAUUCGAGUGUGGAUUUGGCUUAAGUUCCUUGGAACAGGACGUCAUAGAGGGUGAGAACCCCGUUAACGGCCUAUGUCUUAUGCUCAUGUGAAUCUCCUUCAACGAGUCGAGUUGUUUGGGAAUGCAGCUCUAAAUGGGUGGUAAAUUCCAUCUAAAGCUAAAUACUGGCAAGAGACCGAUAGCGCACAAGUAGAGUGAUCGAAAGAUGAAAAGAACUCUGAACAGAGAGUUAAAUAGUACGUGAAAUUGUUGAAAGGGAAGCACUUGCUACCAGACACGCCUGUAGUUGAUCAACCUCCAUUUUUGGUGGUGCACUCGGCUAUAGGUGGGUCAGCAUCAGUUACAACGGUGGGAUAAAGACUUUGGGAAUGUAGCUUCUUUCGGGAAGUGUUAUAGCCCUUGGUGUAAUACCAUCUGAUGUGACUGAGGCCCGCGCUUCGGCGAGGAUGCUGGCAUAAUGGUCGUAAGUGACCCGUCUUGAAACACGGACCAAGGAGUCUAACAUCUAUGCGAGUGUUUGGGCGUCAAAACCCUUACGCGGAAUGAAAGUGAAUGAAGGUGGGAACCGCAAGGUGCACCAUCGACCGAUCCUGAUGUUUUCGGAUGGAUUUGAGUAGGAGCAUAGCUGUUGGGACCCGAAAGAUGGUGAACUAUGCCUGAAUAGGGUGAAGCCAGAGGAAACUCUGGUGGAGGCUCGCAGCGGUUCUGACGUGCAAAUCGAUCGUCAAAUUUGGGUAUAGGGGCGA
rnacentral:rRNA from 1 species